ensembl:snRNA
GUGUUGUAUGGAAGGAGAGAAGGUUAGCACUCCCCUUGAGGAGGAUGGAAGAGGCCCUUAGGGCUGACAACAUGCAUACAAUUAAGGCAUUGGCACCUACUUGAUGGCAUCUAACCAUUGUUUUGG